AAACUCGGCUGUACGCAGACUGCACGCAGACUGCACGCAGACUGCACGCAAGCAAGCCGCGCGGUUCAUUUCUCAAGCUAAACGCAUUUAUCGGUGAUGCACCGAGGGAGAAAAUCAGAGCCCUCCGCCUCUCGCCGCCGACGUCGUACAGCCAUUGUCCUCGCGUACGCGUCGCCGUUGUGUCAGAGAAUGCCGUGGCGAGGUGCCGAGCAAGGGGCUGCGUCGGAGGGUUCGGAGUGGAAGGACAGGGAGUAGAGGGUUGCACGCCAUUCCUUCGACAUUACGUCAUACGUCGAUUCUCUGGGGAUUCCCACGGCGUCAACCCACGCCGAGAAACUUCGUCGACCGCAUUCAGCAGGAUACCAAGUUUUCUAUUUGCUUUCGUCUGACAAGAGUUCUCUGUUGGUUACCUAUUAGAAGAAGGAAGAGCUCGCGGUGUUUGUGUACGCGAAGAAAGUAGGUUUGUUGGUAGCGUGUAAUACGUACGAAGAAAAUGAAAGCUACGAGAUCGAUUCGCGUUGAACGGAAAAAUGGAAUGGAUCGAACGAACGAGUUGCACGCGUUCGACGCUGGCAAUCGUCGGAUAAGAGCCAUCCUCCCGUAAUCGUUUUUCCACGUUCCAACCGAAUCGUUGCUGGGUGAAGAAGUUUAAACAAAAAACAAAACAGAGAGGGAGGAGACAGGGAAACUGUGAAAAAGGGAACAAAUAAUGGAAAUGGUGUCUCGCUUAGGGGUAAUCGUCGUCGCGUGCUCGCAGAGUAAAAAUGGGGCUGCCGCGGCUGAUUAAUCAUCGGCAAUCUCGCGAGAGCGCGUCGAAAGGACGCGGCCAUUAAAGGCAAACGACGAGAACUUCGUCACCGGUCGGCGUUCGACGAUCGUGUUCCGGGGUUGAACGAGUUAUUUUUUUUUCUCUCCCUUCGCGCGACGAUACGUGGCAGAAGGAGAAACAGAGACGAACGAGUAAUUUAAUUGAAAUUCCCCAACCGUGCCCUCACCAGCGGUGGCGCAGAAAUUGUGGAAAAAUCGAGUCAUACGAUCGCCGGGGCUGCGUGAAAAUGGAAUUACGGCGGAGAAACGAGGUUUGUCCGAUGAUGCAGGUGAACGCCGGUUUCACGAGGGAUCGAGCAGCCGAACGUACAAAGGGAUGAAAAAACAUAGACUCGUCGGUCCGCGGAAAGACCGAGGGUUUAUAGGGACAAAAUUUUUUUACGUUUAAAUUUCAGCGUAAAUUGGCCUUGCAAAAUUACUCUCAAUUACUCUACGCGAUGCUCGCGAGUGCGAGAGCUCGUUCGAUCGCAACCAUCGUGCGUAUACAGAGCGUUCUGGCUGCCUGGCCUCGAGCAGCAAGCGCAACUCGACUGAAAGAUAUCCUAUCUACAGCGUACGUACGAGUUUGCCAUACGUGUGUAUGUACAUAUGUGUAAACGCGUAUGCACGGUGUACAAAUUGGUCGGCGCACAAAUUGAUCGAUAAUCUGACCGGUAAUCGAGGAGUUUUCCGAAACGUUGCGUUGAUGGCUCGUACAGCCGGAAAUAUUAUAGUCGGGCGAAAUCAGCCUCGAAAUACCGACGGGACGGUGAUCAAGGGUCGACCACUUAUAGCGCAAUUUGUUUUAAUUAAAAAUCGUCCGUGCCUGCGGUACAAUGAAAUUCGCAUUAUACGCGACGAUGCACGGCGAUAUACGAAUUUCGUUAGCGAAAACGCAACGUGAGAUCGAUAGCGAUACUGUACCGAUAUCGCUGUAUGGUAUAGCGUCUGACGAGUCGAUGAGUCGCGAUAUUAAAUGUACUGGCUCGGUGUUAAUUAUGAAUCCAUGGGAGCACGCGAAUCGAACGAUCGUAUCGCAGCGGAGGCCUCAUUUCGAUAUGCACAUUUUAAUUA